rnacentral:rRNA from 1 species
AGACACCUAUAAGAGGUACAGCCUGCCCAGUGACUCUGUUUAACGGCCGCGGUAUCCUAACCGUGCGAAGGUAGCGUAAUCACUUGUUCUUUAAAUGAGGACUAGUAUGAAUGGCACCACGAGGGUUAUACUGUCUCCUUUCUCCAAUCAGUGAAACUAAUCUCUCCGUGAAGAAGCGGAGAUAAACAUAUAAGACGAGAAGACCCUAUGGAGCUUUAAACUAAAUUACAUUUGCUUUAUAAAUAAAAAUUUAAGAAAAAUAAACUGUACCAAGCAUCUGGUAAUAAGUUUUAGGUUGGGGUGACCGCGGAGUAAAAUUUACCCUCCGCAUUGAACAAGAUUGUUUCUUUAGCUAAAAGCUACAACUUUAAGCAUCAAUAAAUUGACAUUAUUGACCCAAUAUUUUGAUCAACGAACCAAGUUACCCUAGGGAUAACAGCGCAAUCCACUUCAAGAGCCCUUAUCGACAAGUGGGUUUACGACCUCGAUGUUGGAUCAGGGUAUCCCAGUGGUGCAGCCGCUACUAAAGGUUCGUUUGUUCAACGAUU